GACGAACGCUGGCGGCGUGCUUAACACAUGCAAGUCGAACGGAAAGGCCCUGCUUUUGUGGGGUGCUCGAGUGGCGAACGGGUGAGUAACACGUGAGUAACCUGCCCUUGACUUUGGGAUAACUUCAGGAAACUGGGGCUAAUACCGGAUAGGAGCUCCUGCUGCAUGGUGGGGGUUGGAAAGUUUCGACGGUUGGGGAUGGACUCGCGGCUUAUCAGCUUGUUGGUGGGGUAGUGGCUUACCAAGGCUUUGACGGGUAGCCGGCCUGAGAGGGUGACCGGCCACAUUGGGACUGAGAUACGGCCCAGACGCCUACGGGAGGCAGCAGUGGGGAAUAUUGCACAAUGGGCGGAAGCCUGAUGCAGCAACGCCGCGUGCGGGAUGACGGCCUUCGGGUUGUAAACCGCUUUCGCCUGUGACGAAGCGUGAGUGACGGUAAUGGGUAAAGAGGCACCGGCUAACUACGUG
rnacentral:rRNA from 1 species